rnacentral:lncRNA from 1 species
CCGACAUGGAAUGUUUACAUCAUUGCAGAAAGUUCUUACAGGAAGACUCUAGAAGGAGAAAGCCUAGAAUCAUGAUAAAAUUGCAGAUAUCUUUCCUUAUCCCUUGUCCUCUUCCAGGUCUGUCCCCAACAGCCACCACACGGGGGUGGAUUCCCUGUGUAACUUCUCGCCACUGGCUCGGAGAGUAGACAGAGUUGCCAUCUAUGAGGAAUUCCUGCGGAUGACCCGGAAUGGGAGCCAGCUGCAGAACUUCACCCUGGACAGGAGCAGUGUCCUUGUGGAUGGGUAUUCUCCCAACAGAAAUGAGCCCUUAACUGGGAAUUCUGACCUUCCCUUCUGGGCCAUCAUCCUCAUCUGCUUGGCAGUACUCCUGGGACUCAUCACAUGCCUGAUCUCCGGCUUCCUGGCGACCACUCGCCGGCGGAAGAAGGAAAGAGAAUACAGCUUCCGGCAACAGUGCCCAGGCUACUACCAGUCACACCUAGACCUGGAGGAUCUGCAAUGACUGGAACUUGCCGGUGCUCGGGGUCCCUUUUCCCCAGCCAGGGUCCAAAGAAGCUUGGCUGGGGCAGAAAUAAACCAUAU